GAUGAAGAACGUAGCGAAAUGCGAUAAGUAAUGUGAAUUGCAGAAUUCAGUGAAUCAUCGAAUCUUUGAACGCACAUUGCGCCCGCCAGUAUUCUGGCGGGCAUGCCUGUCCGAGCGUCAUUUCAACCCUCGAACCCCUCCGGGGGGUCGACGUUGGGGACCUCGGGAGCCCCUAAGACGGGAUCCCGGCCCCGAAAUACAGUGGCGGUCUCGCCGCAGCCUCUCCUGCGCAGUAGUUUGCACAACUCGCACCGGGAGCGCGGCGCGUCCACGUCCGUAAAACACCCAACUUCUGAAAUGUUGACCUCGGAUCAGGUAGGAAUACCCGCUGAACUUAAGCAUAUCAAUAAGCGGAGGA
rnacentral:misc_RNA from 1 species